AGUGAACGCUGGCGGUAGGCCUAACACAUGCAAGUCGAACGGCAGCACGGGAGAGCUUGCACUCUGGGUGGCGAGUGGCGGACGGGUGAGGAAUACAUCGGAAUCUACUCUGUCGUGGGGGGUAACGUAGGGAAACUUACGCUAAUAACGCAUACGACCUACGGGUGAAAGCAGGGGACCUUCGGGCCUUGCGCGAUUGAAUGAGCCGAUGUCGGAUUAGCUAGUUGGCGGGGUAAAGGCCCACCAAGGCGACCAUCCGUAGCUGGUCUGAGAGGAUGAUCAGCCACACUGGAACUGAGACACGGUCCAGACUCCUACGGGAGGCAGCAGUGGGGGAUAUUGGACAAUGGGCGCAAGCCUGAUCCAGCCAUACCGCGUGGGUGAAGAAGGCCUUCGGGUUGUAAAGCCCUUUUGUUGGGAAAGAAAUCCAGCUGGCUAAUACCCGGUUGGGAUGACGGUACCCAAAGAAUAAGCACCGGCUAACCUCGUGCCAGCAGCCGCGGUAA
rnacentral:rRNA from 1 species